UACGGGGGGAGCAAGCGUUGUUCGGAUUUACUGGGCGUAAAGGGCGCGUAGGCGGUCAGCACAAGUCAGUUGUGAAAUCUCCGGGCUUAACUCGGAAAGGUCAACUGAUACUGUGCGACUAGAGUGCGGAAGGGGCAACUGGAAUUCUUGGUGUAGCGGUGAAAUGCGCAGAUAUCGGGAGGAACACCAAUGGCGAAGGCAGCUCGCUGGGACGGUACUGACGCUGAGACGCGAAAGCGUGGGGAGCAAACAGG
rnacentral:rRNA from 1 species